rnacentral:rRNA from 1 species
AGCUUGCCCAGCCAAGAGAUUGCUGGAGGAGGCUGUGGAAUGGGCGGGGAGACAGGCGCCGAGGUAUGGCUGGUGAUUGGGAUG